GGCGUGCCUAAUACAUGCAAGUAGAACGCUGAAGGAAGGAGCUUGCUCUUUCCGGAUGAGUUGCGAACGGGUGAGUAACGCGUAGGUAACCUGCCUGGUAGCGGGGGAUAACUAUUGGAAACGAUAGCUAAUACCGCAUAACAGUAGAUAUUGCAUGAUAUCUGCUUGAAAAGGGUGCAAUUGCAUCACUACAGAUGGACCUGCGUUGUAUUAGCUAGUUGGUGAGGUAACGGCUCACCAAGGCGACGAUACAUAGCCGACCUGAGAGGGUGAUCGGCCACACUGGGACUGAGACACGGCCCAGACUCCUACGGGAGGCAGCAGUAGGGAAUCUUCGGCAAUGGACGGAAGUCUGACCGAGCAACGCCGCGUGAGUGAAGAAGGUUUUCGGAUCGUAAAGCUCUGUUGUAAGAGAAGAACGAGUGUGAGAGUGGAAAGUUCACACUGUGACGGUAUCUUACCAGAAAGGGACGGCUAACUACGUG
rnacentral:rRNA from 1 species